rnacentral:rRNA from 1 species
UACUCCUACGGGAGGCAGCAGUAGGGAAUCUUCCGCAAUGGGCGAAAGCCUGACGGAGCAACGCCGCGUGAGUGAAGAAGGAUUUCGGUUCGUAAAGCUCUGUUGUUAGGGAAGAAUGAUUGUAUAGUAACUAUAUACAGUAGAGACGGUACCUAACCAGAAAGCCACGGCUAACUACGUGCCAGCAGCCGCGGUAAUACGUAGGUGGCAAGCGUUGUCCGGAAUUAUUGGGCGUAAAGCGCGCGCAGGUGGUUUAAUAAGUCUGAUGUGAAAGCCCACGGCUCAACCGUGGAGGGUCAUUGGAAACUGUUAAACUUGAGUGCAGGAGAGAAAAGUGGAAUUCCUAGUGUAGCGGUGAAAUGCGUAGAGAUUAGGAGGAACACCAGUGGCGAAGGCGGCUUUUUGGCCUGUAACUGACACUGAGGCGCGAAAGCGUGGGGAGCAAACAGGAUUAGAUACCCUGGUAGUCCACGCCGUAAACGAUGAGUGCUAAGUGUUGGUCUCAUAAGAGAUCAGUGCUGCAGCUAACGCAUUAAGCACUCCGCCUGGGGAGUACGACCGCAAGGUUGAAACUCAAAGGAAUUGACGGA